AUACGGAGGGUGCAGGCGUUACUCGGAAUCACUGGGCGUAAAGCGCGCGCAGGCGGCUAUUUAAGUUGGAUGUGAAAGCCUACGGCUCAACCGUAGAACUGCAUCCAAAACUAUUUAGCUAGAGUGUGGGAGAGGAAGAUGGAAUUAGUUGUGUAGGGGUAAAAUCCGUAGAGAUAACUAGGAAUACCAAAAGCGAAGGCAAUCUUCUGGAACACUACUGACGCUGAGGCGCGAAAGCGUGGGGAGCAAACGGGAUUAGAUACCCUAGUAGUCC
rnacentral:rRNA from 1 species